GAUGAAGAACGUAGCGAAAUGCGAUACUUGGUGUGAAUUGCAGAAUCCCGUGAACCAUCGAGUCUUUGAACGCAAGUUGCGCCCGAAGCCAUUAGGCCGAGGGCACGCCUGCCUGGGCGUCACACGUCGUUGCCCCCCCGUCUAAUCCUUCGGGAUUGCGGGGGGCGGAUGAUGGCCUCCCGUGCGCCUCGUCGCGCGGUUGGCAUAAAUGCCAAGUCCUCGGCGACGCACGCCACGACAAUCGGUGGUUGCGAAACCUCGGUUGCCCGUCGUGUGCGGUCGUCGCGCAUCGAGGGCUCGAAAAAAUUGCCGGGCUCCGGCUCGACUUUCAACGCGACCCCAGGUCAGGCGGGGUUACCCGCUGAAUUUAAGCAUAUCAAUAAGCGGAGGA
rnacentral:misc_RNA from 1 species